rnacentral:rRNA from 1 species
CCUACGGGUGGCUGCAGUGGGGAAUAUUUGACAAUGGGCGCAAGCCUGAUCCAGCAAUGCCGCGUGUGUGAAGAAGGCCUGCGGGUUGUAAAGCACUUUAAGCAGGAAAGAAGGGGUGAAAGUUAAUACCUUUCAUCAUUGACGUUACCUGCAGAAUAAGCACCGGCUAACUCCGUGCCAGCAGCCGCGGUAAUACGGAGGGUGCGGGCGUUAAUCGGGAUUACUGGGCGUACAGCGCGCGUCGGGGAUUCCCUGGGCUUAACCUGGGAACUGCGGUGGAUACUGUCGGGCUAGAGUGUGGUAGAGGGGAGUGGAAUUUCCGGUGUAGCAGUGAAAUGCGUAGAGAUCGGAAGGAACACCAGUGGCGAAGGCGGCUCCCUGGACUAACACUGACGCUGAGGUGCGAAAGCGUGGGGAGCAAACAGGAUUAGAUACCCGAGUAGUC